AAUUAAAGUUAUUCUCAGGUCCCAAAGGGAGCUCAGAGAAUAUCACUCCAUUGAAGUUCCCUGGAGCCUUCUAGAAUGUCAGCUUAACCCAGCUUCCAUGUUGGGUUGCUUCCACAGUUUUAGAUUUCUUGGGAUUCUAUGUUAUGAACUCAGAAGACCUGAUUUUUAUGAUUGUCAUCCCAAAAUAGCCUUCAUAUUCAUACUCAGUAUUUCCGCUGAGGUGAUGCAUACAAACCAUUAUGCAAAUUGAACGCACUCAGAGCAUGGUUUCCCCACAUAGUGCUGAAUUUUCUAGAAGACUCAUCAUGAAAAGCGGCCUCACUGAUGCUUACAUUAGCACUGAUGACCUAGUCUAGGUGUCUGGCCUCACAGAUGAGGAAAUGCAAGCCCUCAAGGGGGUAAAAUUCCUUCAUCCUUACCUUACACCACUGCCUGCUAAGAUACCCCAAAGUGCCUUCCAUCUGUGCAAAUGAAGUCUCUAGGAGAUGCCUCGGA